UAUACAUCUGAUCUCAAUAUAUUCUAAUUUCCCCAAUUUUGAAUAUAUUAUUAAUAGUCUGGACUACGUUUUUUUAUUUUUAAAUGCGUUGUUUAUAUUAUGUGCAGGCUGAAAUUAGUUAUUGCAAACGCCCACUUUCUAAAGUAGGCGUUUCCUAACAUAAACAGACUAAAUCGUGUUAAUAUUGACCAAUAAGAUCGCGCUAUGUUGUACAUGGCUCUUCCCACCCUGCUUCACAGGCACUUCUGUGCUAUCUCAGUGUAAUUAUAUGAAUCUUUGGCGCGAGUGCUGGACACAACCUCCAUUUUAGGUAAUCCCAUUUGCUGUACAAGGUUGGAUUUUGAUAAUCUGUUGAUGUCUGUUUUCUGUUGUCUGAAUUAUGUUGGCAUAGCUACUGUAAAUUAAAUAUAUUUGAUAACAUUGGACAUUCGGCAGUUUUUAAUCUACUAUAUGUUUUAGUGACCAACGAUUUGCUGUGGUUGUCUUUUCAUAUACAGAACAUGUCAAGGCCACAGCCAUCAACAUUUUUAAUGCAGCACCAGGACAUGGCAGAGACAACAUCCGAAACACUGCAGGAAUGGAAAGAUUUGGAGGCGGCAUCCGAUGAGGAUUUGGAAGUGUCCUCGUAUGACCUCAUGACUGAUCCUCAGUUCCCCCCAUCAAAGGACCCCUACACCCCACCAGACAGUGAGACACCCUGCCCUUCCUCCACCCUGACCACGGGGCCUGGAUCCUCCCCUUUCACACAGAAGAAGGACUUCACUGCUGCCGUUUCCUCCAAGAGGUCUCGGGCCUCUAGUUCCACAGAGUCGAGAGGCAACACACCCAUUGGUUCCCAGAGAGACCUCAGUGAUGUGGAUUCUGACCAGAUGGACUUCAGUUUUGAUGCCACGGUCGCUACCAAGAAGUCCCGGCUCUCCAGUUCGACCAAGACCAGGGCCACCCGUCCCCGCUCCCAGAGAGUCCCUAAUUACACGUUUUCUGACCAAAUGAGCUUGACGUCAGAUGAGGAUUUUGACGUGUUGUCAGAUGAUCAAAUGAAUUAUCCCCACUUCAUCCCAGCAGAGGAAAACUCUGAUUCAACAGACAGUGAGACACCCUGCACGCCCUCUACCCCGUCCCCAAAGUCUAAACCCGGCCCUGUCAAACAGAAGAAAAGCAUGUCUACAUUAACAAUCAAAACCUGCAGUAAGACCAAGGAUGGGAAAAGGCUCUAUGACAAAAAGCAUUUCUGUAUAUACUGCAUGAAACCCAACUCUAAAAUAUCCCGGCACUUAGAAAGAAAGCAUGGAGAUGAGGAGGACGUAGCCCGGGCUUGUAGCUUCCCAAAAGGCUCUAAGAAAAGGUCAGCCUUGCUUGAAGAGCUGAGAAACAAAGGUGACUAUCAACACAACAUCUUAGUACUUGAAGAGGGGAAGGGAGAGAUCGUUAUAUCACGGAAAUCCCCAGGAAGUGCUUCCAUUGAGGACUACCUGCCCUGUUCUCACUGUCUGGGUUUUUUUGUAAAGAGCGAGUUAAGAAGACACGAGUCAUUAUGUCAGCCAAAAAAUGAAGAAAAAAGGUCUCGUAACAACGAAGAAACAGAGCCUAGGAAGAGAGUUCAGUCACUAGUCUCCCAUCUGAUUUCAGUUUCUAAAAGUGUUUCAGAAGGAUCCCAGAAGAUUGUAAAGAAACCACAACAAGAAUCCGCUGCAUGUCUUCAUUCAGACUUCACUUUUGAUGCCACAGUUGCUACCAAGAAGUCCCGGCUCUCCAGUUCGACCAAGACCAGGGCCACCCGUCCCCGCUCCCAGAGAGUCCCUAAUUACACGUUUUCUGACCAAAUGAGCUUGACGUCAGAUGAGGAUUUUGACGUGUUGUCAGAUGAUCAAAUGAAUUAUCCCCACUUCAUCCCAGCAGAGGAAAAUUCUGAUUCAACAGACAGUGAGACACCCUGCACGCCCUCUACCCUGUCCCCAAAGUCUAAAAUUGACCCUAUUGAACAGGAAAAAAGCAUGUCUACAUUAACAAUCAAAACCUGCAGUAAGACCAAGGAUGGGAAAAGGCUCUAUGACAAAAAGCAUUUCUGUAUAUACUGCAUGAAACCCAAUUCUAAAAUAUCCAGGCACUUAGAAAGAAAGCAUGGAGAUGAGGAGGACGUAGCCCGGGCUUGUAGCUUCCCGAAAGGCUCUAAGAAAAGGUCAGCCUUGCUUGAAGAGCUGAGAAAAAAAGGUGACUAUCAACACAACAUCUUAGUGCUUGAAGAGGGUAAGGGAGAGAUCGUUACAUGGAGACAACCCCCAGGAAGUGCUUCCAUUGAGGACUACCUGCCCUGUUCUCACUGUCUUGGUUUUUUUGUAAAAAGCAAGUUAUGGAGACACGAGUCAUCAUGUAGGCCAAAAAAGGAAGGAGAAAAGGGGUCAAGGAAGAGGGUCCAAUCUAUAGCAUCCCAUCUGAUCCCAAUCUCUAAAAGUGCUUCGGAAGGCUGCCAAAAGAUCAUCCACAAAAUGCAACAAGAUUCAGUGGCUUUUCACAUACGAAACGACCUGUUAAUUUGUCAGUUAGGGGACUGUUUGUAUGCAGAGCGCGGUCAUGAGUUGUCCCAGCAUGGCUACAUCUGCAAAAGACUGCGGGAAGUGGGUAGACUCAUGCUGGUGCUCAAAGAGCUUGAUAACAGUGUAAAGCACCUACAGGACGUCUGUAAACCGAGCCGGUUCGAACUGGUUCUUGAAGCAGCAAAGAAGGUCAGCAGGUUCAAUCCGGAUGUAAUUGACUACACAAAAACAAGUUUGGUUAUUAGGAUAGGACACUCACUUACCAAAGCAGCAGAGUGUUUAGCUAGCAGAAGUGUAAUAAAUGGGGACGUAGAGACUCAUGCAGAGGCAAACAAAUUUGUGAAACUAAUGACCUCUUCGUGGAGAGGGUACGUAACUUCUAAUGCACACAGGUCAAUCAAACAGAAAAAUUGUAACAAAGAAGAUGCCGUUCCAUUGACGGAAAUCGUGAAGGUCCUCCAAUCAUGCUAA
rnacentral:lncRNA from 1 species